UGCUUUGCAGGCAAACAUGGUGACCCAUGCCGGUGUCCAAGUACAGUGCCCAGCUCCCCCAAGCAGUGUGCAUCUUCUCCUCUUCCUCCUCCCCUGCUUUGUACUUCUCUCUGCUGUCCAGGGCCGGGGCCAGUUUGGUCAAGACUGCUUUCAGCAAGGUGCUUGCUAAGCUCGUCUCAUGAGAAGGACAAACAAUGUCUCAUCAGGUGGAGCCUAUAGACUUCCCUAUGAUAAAAAUAAAUCAACUUCCAUGCAGUAUCUGCAGGAGCUCUCACUUGUGCCUGAGAGGAGUCCGUGAGCAGAGGGGGUUUGGCAUAGCUGUUUUCUGGUGUGGACUCUUCCCAAAUUGCUGCAGGGGACUGUCCUUCAGUGCCUGUUCAGGUUAACUGCGUAGGUGACAGGGCUCAGGGGGGGGUUGCCCCAGUGCAGCAGCCAGGUGCCUAAAAGCCAUCUCCCCAGAAGGAGGCUUUUCCAAGACCCGGCAUCCAAAACGGCAGUGCUAGCCUGUUUACAUCAGCCCUCCAGCCUGCUUGUCCACUGCACAGCACCGCUUGGCACUGCAGGAAAGAAAGAUGCCUUUUGCUGUUUGGCUGACUCCAGGCUGGAUCAGCUGGCCAGGUGCACGGCCAAUUUCCAUUGCUGCUUUGAAGCUGAGAAGUAUUUUGAAAAGAAUAGACCCUUUAGCCCUAAAAGAGCUGCAGAAGGAAAAGGCAAGCACUGGCAUGCUUGUAAGUGGGACAGAGCGAGAUUCCCUGUGGACUAGACAUUUCUGAGAUUGCUUUUAGAGAAACAAGGAAAAAAAAGCUGGAUUCACAGUGGUGACUUUGACUUCAUCUGGCAAGAGCAAGCUGAUCUCCUAAAUGAGAAAGGCACAGCCACGAAGAGGAAGACUAAACGGGUCACUGCGAGAAGCAGUCUGUUCCUUCUGACCCAGUGGCUGCAAGUGACACAAUCUCACUGAUGUUUGGGUAGGAGAUCCCUCCAUUUUAGGACUUGCUCUGUCACAAGAAUACCAAAGGGCUUUCCAGGUGCAUGAGAUCUGCAUAUGGAGUUUCAUAAUGGAUUUCAUAAAGUUUGCUGCACUUUACCCUACUCUUCUAGGUAAAUAUUUUGUCUCCCAAAUAAUCAUUCGCCUUUCUGGGUCAUGUAGCCUGUGAAGCUGAUAGGCUGGUGCCCGUUGCAGGGGUGAAUUCCUGACAGAGUGGAUGGAGGAGCAAGGGUGCUGGGGAAUGUCCCUGGUGCCCCCCCUUCUUGCCCCCCAAUUGUGCUGCAUUCCUCCUGUGGAGUCUGCGGGGUCGUGGUGGCCCAGGAGCUUAGACACCUUCCUCCAAGUUGGGCACUGGCGAGGGCACUUACUUUGGAGCAAUUUGGUGGGAGGUCUGGACUCAGGAGCAUCUCAGAGCGAUACCCUGGAUGUCCACGCCUCUUAGGCUGGACAGGGGUGCUGUCGUGCAUUCUGGGAGAAGAAACUCCUGGGAGCCCCUCAGAGCCUUUUCUAUCCUCUCCUUUGCUGUAUUGCUGUCUUCUAUCUGGAGGUCCAACCAACAAGAGCUGAGAAACUGCUUUGCCUAUGUGGUACUAACGUAUGGGCCAUUGAAAAUGGUCCCAGUGACUCAGAGUGGAAGAGAAGUGCCACGCGUGGACUUGAGCCCCUGUUAUGAGUAGAAGGGACAAAAAUAGCACUUUGUAGCAUAGUCUCCAUGAUCCAACUCCUCUGUGUCCUCCUAAAAGUUUGUUGCCUGGCAUCAUCCUGCAGUGCUGCCAGGGCUCUGUGGGUCCACAGGGCACUCUGCCUGGGUGCCCUUGGCCAGCUUUUGGCUGUCAGGGUACAGCUACCAGAACAAGAGGCAAAUCCCAGCACUUAGGACUCCAGCCCCAGCGAGUCACCAGUGUUUGGCCAGCAGUGAGCUCAGGCUGCAGUGUUUGGGUUGGUCUCUCUGAGCCUCUCCCUCCAACUGCUCACGAAUGCUUGGAGGUGUGGUCUGGUUGGUCUGGGAACGGGUGUUCAAACUAGGCUUUUCUACCAGUGGGAAGCUGACUUGGGAUGGCUUCAUGGGAAGCUGUGGUCUGCUCAGGUUUAGGUUUGAGGCGGGGGGAGUCCCAGUGGGCACAUGAAGAUGCAGUGAGGGCUCCAGGUGAUGCUUCCUUCUUCCUCAGCCAGAGGUCUGAGCUGGCCUCUGCAUCCCUUUGUGAAGUGGCCACUCUGACUAGCCCACAUCUAAAUCCAUGAACUUUGCUUAAGGAGGAGGUAGAAAUUGAGUUUUAGGGAGAACGCUGUGCUUUGGAGGUAAUUGUUUUCACGAUGGGCAGAGCCAGACCCCAUAUUGCAACACAGGCUGAAACGUGGAUGUACUUGAAGGUUCAUCAGGUCUGGAUCUGAAUUUUGUGACUGACUCUGUCUUAAUGAAUGGCUGGACCGUGCGCUCCUGAAAUCCAAACUGUCCACCUCCUAAAGCUGCACCUGCAGAGAGAAGUUACUAACAGCAUUACCUAUACACAGCACAUCGGGCGGGCUUCUCAUUGUGUGGGUGGGGGUGGUGGAAAAUGCAGUUCAGUUUUAUUUUAGGACUACGUUCACACAUCUGAUUAAGCACACAAGGAUUGCCAGGGAGACCUCAGGCCAGGUUUCACUAUCCGUGCCAGCCAGCGAGACGUGGAGGGAGCGUGAACCCCCUGGACGGGCUCUGUCCCACUGGCCCUCCCCUUCCCUGCCUGCUGCUGAAUAGAGAAGCUGUGAAACUCGAGUCUGAGGGCCACGUCUACAGGCUCUCUGGUGUCAUGGCAUAUGACAUUGGCUACAGCGGGCAGUCUUGAUGAGCAAGGUACAAACCCCAUCCUCAUCUGAGCUGACCACUGGCUUUUUCUAACACUGCUUAGAAUUUGCACUUUUUAUCAUCUGAACGAUAAGGCUCUGGUACUUCCCACUUGUUUUUUCUCUCCUGCCUGUAGUGCCCGGAAUAUGUGUUAACAGUCUAUUGAUGGAAAUGAUAAUUAGGGGAUUUGUCAUAAGAAAUGUGCAUGAACUUUUCAAGCUGUCAUUCAAAAAGAGAUGUUUUAUAGUCAACUCUUGAUUAUCUGUGGGUGCCUUAUCUGAUCUACAGAUUAGAUGUGCCAUGUUUGAAAAACCCAGAACUCUUUCAGAGCCAUUUUAAAGUAUAAUACAUAAUGGGUUUUUGUUUUUAUUUAUAACCUCAUACUGCAUCUUAAACUUGCUUUUUUUCAAAGGUAAAGAUGUUAAAGCACGACAUUCCUGGGGCCUUAUUUACAUGUAUUUUGUAGUAUUUGUUCUGCUUUUCAUUCUUUUCCCUCAUUACCCCAGAUACUGAGAGCUGAGUAUAUCAGAUUAUAGCAUCUGUGGGGGAGGGCAUGUGACACGGUAACCUUUCCCCAGCUGUUUUCUUUUUUUCUGGUGCUGCAUAAGAGUUUCUGCAGGGUGAUGCUGCACAGCCAGAUGGGCUGGAGAGGAAGAGGGAGUGCUCUGCUGUGAAAAAAAACACAACAACCAAAAACCACACAAGCGUCUAUACCUGAAGGAGCGUGAGUGAGUGACAAACAGCUGAAAGAGAAGGGAUGUCUUAGAAACCAUUUGUCAGGCUGGAGAAGCGGCAGCUUGUUAAGAACGUGCCUGUUCAGUUAAAAGGAUGAAUUCAGCUGCCAUCACUUCAAAAGCCCUCACAGCUGAAUCAGCAAAUUUCUGUUUCCAUACAUAAUGGAUGCAGCCAGCGUGCCAUUACGAUGCCCAAAACAAGACUUGUGCUAAGCUGCUUAAAUUAGCUGUUUACGAUAGUUACACUCUAUAGCUGUAGUUUGGUUUUUUCCCUGGGUCUCCUUCUCUUCUCACGCCUUUUGUUUUUGCAGCCCUGGGAACAGCUGCCUGAGCAAGGAUUUCAGGGAGGGAGUGGUACUGACUCAGUGCUACCUGCGCUGACAUUUUCAGCCAUGCCUUUCAUGAUCUUUUCAGCCUGCGCAUUGCCUGCAAGCCCCACUGACCCGUGCUGGUGCCGCCUAUCCCUGGUGCUAGCCAGGGGCUGGGGGCUGCCAUUGCCGGCGGACCGACCCACACGGCAGCGGCAUGCAGGAGCGCAGAGCCAGGGCACUGGAUGCUUUCUUCCCACGCUUGUCCCCGUUCCUUCCUUGCCAUCUCCUCACCUCCUCUGCCUCUAUCUGUCACAGCCUUCUCUCAAAGGCCGCCGCAUCUCCUGAGCCUGGAGCUGCUCCCUGCUCUCCUGGCAUGCCAUGGCUUGGGGCAGGUACUUCUCCUGCCUCGGCUUCUCUCUGGCCAUAUCAGCGCUGGGUACAGCUGGUGCCAGAGAAGGACCCAAAUCAACCCAGCCAGGCUCUGGCAACAUUUGGGUCUAGAUCCCUGGUUUGAUUAUCAAGGUUUCUAAGAAAUGACACCUUCUUUCAGUGACAACUUUUUAAGUGUUGCUUGAAAAGUUUUACAGUAGCUCAGCAUUCUCACAAAAACAAGUCAUGCUGGGUGAAGUAUUAUUGAAAGGUUGUCAACAUUAAACCAAAACCUACUGCUCUGUUAUAGUUUUUCUUUUUUUUACCUGAAGGAAUGGGGAAGGAGUAAGAAACAGUGAAGGGGGAAAAAAAAAAAAAAAAAAAAAAAGGACUUUUCCUGUGAAAAUAGAAAAAAAUAAUAGAAAAGUUGGCAACUUUUUAUUCCAACCAGAAGGUUUUCUGAAAGCAACUUCUGGCUGAAAUUUUUUUUUAAAAAGUGUUGGCUGAGAAAUGUCAACCAGCUCUAAUAUCUUAUGAAAGAUGUUGCACUUAAUAAAACUGCAGGCAGGCAGGCAGGAACAAUAUACCCAUUCAUCUCCGCCUAGCCCCUCACUCUCUUUCCCUGCCACCCUGCUCGCUCCCGGAGGUGUGAGCCCUAACUGGUGAUGUGAGCUCUUCCACUGGCUUCAGUGAGACUUCUGGGCUAAGAAGUUCUUUUGUGAGCCACAGCUGCAGGGCAGUAGCUAAGGGAAGCACAUGUCGCUGCAGGUGGGGGACGCAUGGUGUCCCUGCCACGGAGCGAUGGGAGCUGUGACACCUCCGGUGGAUGUCCUACGUGGAGGCCAGUGGAACACAGUGGAUCGAGCAGUGGUGCCGGCUAAUCCCCAUUUCCUCAGCCAGGCUUUCUCCCUCCCUCUCUUGCCCCUGGGGAGACAUAAAAGCUGGCUGUGCUGCAGACAGAACACAGCCCCAGAGAGCCAGAGGAGGGAGGAGGGAUCAGGGGGAGCUUCCCUGGUUACGGCAUCUUUUGCAGGGGGGUAGCAGGGCAGAGCUACCUCCGGGGACUCCCCCCGCUGCCCCACUCCAGAGGAGGGACUGUGGGGAUGGGGAAGUGCUUAUGGCCCAACGUUUCUGAUUGCUCUGCUAUUUUGGGAAGCUUUUGUAAGGUAAACAAGAGCCCCCCACCUUGAUUCAUUGAGGUGAUUAGUAAACCAUAAGAUGGCAUUUACAUUGCUAAGGUAUUUGCACAAGGUCUCACCCAGACGGCAAGUUCACCGGGGAGGAGGUGACCUUCAGCGUUUCUUGCUUUGCCCUGUAUCUGGCACACGGGGGGCCUGCCUGUUUGACUGGAGUGCCUGGGUACUGUAAUCAAAAUAAAUCAUCCUUAUCAUCGCCGGCGGUGAUACCACAAUGGAAACAGAAACAGGCGCCUACUUUGCACUUUGCAAAAAUGACAUCAUGGCAAGGAGCGGGACGGGAGGUCAGAGGAUGAACUCCGGGCGGCUGCCGCUGCCGCCUUGCCUGAGCCAGGCUCUCCUGCCCAGGGCCAGCUCCCGGCUCGGUGGGGGCACGAGCAAACCGCUGUGCAUGACUGGGGAGCUGGUCUGUUACUGGGAGCAGUAACAACCAGGAUGGCGAUGUUCUGGUUCAGCCUAUCGCGUUUUUUGUAGCAAAACUGGCAAAGGAGCCCCCCCAAACUCUCUGUCUCUCCCCUCCCUGGGCAAACCACAAAACAUAACUUCUCAUUUUGGUUGCCUGAUCUGUUUUGGAGGGAAAAGAAGUGUUCAGUGAGUAGUGGAACUAUUUAAGACUGCUUUUUUUCCUAUGGAUUUAUAUGAUUCUUAUGGUGCUGAGGGCUGACUUUGACUGAAUUCUCAUAAUACUGAAGAAAAUGAGCACUCAGAGAGUCUACUCAGCCUAGCACUGCUAUGGAUACCAUAAUCAUAGGAAAAAACUUUACAGUUUGCAUCUAUUAAAAUCCAGCAACUCCAUAUAAGAGCGGGCCACAGGCUGAAGACUGAAUUCUCUGAUGCCCAAUAAGGUGUAAUAAUUCUUUCCCUUCGAAGGAGCAUUUGAAGAGACCAUGUCCAGCUGCAUGUUUUCAUGAAGCUCUUAGCAGCAACUUCCUAUCUCAGAGGCUGAAAUGUUUCAAAGAGGACUUUCUGGUUGGUGUCAAAGAAAACAGAUGUGGGAAAGGUGGGGAGAUGCACAGGGAAGAAAGGGCUUGUCCUUGUAGCAAAGCCAGGAGUAGCAGUUCCUGCCUUUGACUGUGAGCAAGGCACACUCGCUGCCCGUGCCUCUGCUGCCUGGCCAUAAGGCAGGGAUUAGCACGAGUGGUGUUAGCACUCUGGAGCUCUGGAGCACUCUGGUCUCCUUGGGUAGGAGAUGUCACUCCCUUGCUGCAGGCCCUCCAAACCCUGGGCCAAGCUGCUGGCUCUGCCACCGUCUUCCUCGGUCCCAUCCCUCUCCUCCCUGGGAGAGGGCAGUCGUGGGCAUCACAGCGGCAGGGUCAGCCAGGGAAGGAGCCAGGGAAGGCUCCCUGCUUGGUGAUGCUCUGCACCCUGGCAGGACUAGGCAAAGGGCUUUAAGAUGAGUUGCUUUAACGCUUUCGCACUCCUUUUUUUCCCGCCUCAAAGAGACAAAUCUUAGCUUUGAAGCCUUUGAAAUGACAUCAAAAGAUGAGCUUUCCAGAGGAGCUUAAGGGAGUUGGGUGCGCUUGUCCCAUUGAUGGUCAACAGGAGAUGUGUGCUUAAUCUCUGGAGGUGCUUUGAAAAUUUUGUCCUACACGUACGUCCUUGCUGGGGAGGAAGUGAGAAGCAGUUGGCAGCUCCUUGGCUUUGUAAAAGGCAGAUCCUGCCUUUUUUUCUGAAGAUAAAACAUGAUGGAUUUGAAGAUGAUGUCCAAAACCUAGGUUUGCUGUGAAAACCACCAAUUGAUUUUUAAAGGAGAAGCACUUAAAAACAGCCUGUGAUUUUGCCGCAUCCCAAGGACAGUAACUCAUCUGACGAUAACUCAGGUGCUGCCACUUGCUCUCCCCUUGGCGUCACUGUGGGCAUAGCGUAACCUUGCUGGAAAUGGAAAGCCUCUCAGUAUGGAAGCUGUUACCCGUGGAGACAGUACCACUUCUCUGCCUCUUCUUGUGUCAUCUUUUAGUAGUACUUUAUAUGGCCUGUGUUACUUUUUGACAGGGGUAUCACCACCUGUUUGCUUCUGCGGGUAAAUAUUAAACCCGGGUGGUUUAACUCGUCACACCCUGGAAGGGGGACCGCAGGGGCAGUGUGCACUGUCGGGAUCUCCGCACCAUCGCCAGUGCCGAUGCUGGCUGGCUGCUACCAGCUGACUCGGGACCUUCAGGUGCAGACAGGACUUGCCAGGAGCUGUAAGUGCUGGUUUGGUUGAGUGCCACUAGGUGAGCAUGUGAGGCGUGGGGCUACCACUGGUGCCCAUCCUUGGGGCUGCCCUGGGCUGAGCCAGUGCUGGCCGUGGGGAGAGGCGGUGGGAGGGGGCUGCGGCCGGGGGCUGGCGUCAAUGGGCUCCCGCAGAAAGGCAAAGGAAACUUGGCUGCAGCCUUGCUGUUGUGCUAUUUUUGUUCAAGAUAAUAACAGGAACUCCACUGUAAAUAAAAAUAGACAAGUGAAGAAUU